UACGUAGGGUGCAAGCGUUGUCCGGAAUUAUUGGGCGUAAAGAGCUCGUAGGCGGUUUGUCGCGUCUGCUGUGAAAACUCGGGGCUUAACCCCGGGCCUGCAGUGGGUACGGGCAGACUAGAGUGCGGUAGGGGAGACUGGAAUUCCUGGUGUAGCGGUGAAAUGCGCAGAUAUCAGGAGGAACACCGGUGGCGAAGGCGGGUCUCUGGGCCGUAACUAACGCUGAGGAGCGAAAGCAUGGGGAGCGAACAGG
rnacentral:rRNA from 1 species